rnacentral:rRNA from 1 species
GAGUUUGAUCCUGGCUCAGGAUGAACGCUAGCGGCAGGCUUAACACAUGCAAGUCGAGGGGUAACAGGGUAGCAAUAUCGCUGACGACCGGCGCACGGGUGAGUAACGCGUAUGCAACCUUCCUUUAACUGGGGGAUAGCCCGGAGAAAUUCGGAUUAAUACCCCAUAACAUCACAGAAAGGCAUCUUUUUGUGAUUAAAGCUCCGGCGGUUAAAGAUGGGCAUGCGUGCCAUUAGCUAGUUGGUGAGGUAACGGCUCACCAAGGCUACGAUGGCUAGGGGGUCUGAGAGGAUGAUCCCCCACACUGGUACUGAGACACGGACCAGACUCCUACGGGAGGCAGCAGUGAGGAAUAUUGGGCAAUGGGCGCAAGCCUGACCCAGCCAUGCCGCGUGAAGGAUGAAUGCCCUAUGGGUUGUAAACUUCUUUUGUACGGGAAGAAACUCUCGGUCGUGACCGGGAUUGACUGUACCGUGCGAAUAAGCAUCGGCUAACUCCGUGCCAGCAGCCGCGGUAAUACGGGGGAUGCAAGCGUUAUCCGGAUUUAUUGGGUUUAAAGGGUGCGUAGGCGGAAUAAUUAGUCAGUGGUGAAAGCCUGCGGCUUAACCGUAGAACUGCCAUUGAUACUGUUAUUCUUGAGUAUAGUUG